rnacentral:miRNA from 12 species
CAGUGACUGAAUAAUACUUUGA